GGGAGGGGAAAUCUGCAUGGGGGACCCCCAAAAUGGGGUCAACCCCCGACCUCCCCCCCCCCCGCAUGUGCCCCCCGAAAUUGAGGGGGGGGCUGUGGCGCAUGUCUGGGUUCCCCCCGGACCCCCAAAUGUGGGUCACACUCUGGGGGGGUGCAGAUGCUGUUCCCCCACCCCUAAUUUGGGGAUCCUGGUCGGUGACCCCCCCACACCCGUGUCCCCCCCAAAAGGCCACAGGAGGCGGAGGAUGUGCAGCCCCCACCCCCCGAGCACAGCACAGAGCCUGACCCUGCCCCAACGCCCCCCCCGGAUGCGGAGCAGCCCCCAGCACAGGGCGCCGAGGACGAGGCG